AUGGCCUGGCUGCGUGUUCGGCCUACCGCACCAUGACUGUGCCUGUUCGCUGGGAUGUUGUGCGCCAGGCUAAGCUCUGCUACCAGUGUCUUGGUCCCCAUCUGCUGCGUGCUUGCCACAGCACCCGAUGCCCAUGGUGUGGUGGCCCGCACCACUCGUCAUUGCACCCGCCGCCCGGAGAGCAUGCAGCCCUCAUGCCUACUGAGAGAUGUGUACCUGAUCGCGGACCUCUGUCACCCCCUGCCGCUGCUGCUGUGUCUGAGAGUCGCAUGCCUGAUCGCAGACCAUUGCCGCCCCCUGCUGCUGCUGGUACUUUUUCUGCCAACCAGGGACGGAUGUGCAUGGGCGUGCGGAGCCAGCAGCACUGCUACGUGCAGACGGCGCUCGUGGAGGUGGCUGGUCCUCGGGGCGUGCGUCUAGUACGCGCGCUGAUUGACGGCGGGGCAGACGCCUCCUUCAUCCGGGCUUCACUGGCUGACCAGCUGGGACUCGAGAAGGUCGGCCAGGGGACCUUCGCGUGUGUCGGAUUCAAGGAAAGAGUUGAGGAGGCUCACCAGUACGACCAAGUAAGCGCGCGGCUCACUGGAUACCAGAAAGGUGAGGCCGAGCUUGUGUUCUGGAGAACUGAUAAGCUGUGUGCGCCCGUGGGAGCUCCACCACCCAUUCAGUCUCUGCCCCCAAGUGUAGAGCUUGCUGAUGACUUCCGUGACGGACCUGUUGAUGUUCUAAUUGGGUGUGAUCAGCUGUACAAGGUGGUGUUGUGGAACCAGGUGGAGGUGAAUCCUGGCCUCCGCCUGGUGGAGACUGUGUUCGGGUAUGUGCUCCACGGACAGUCCCCAGGCCAGCAGACGACCCGGCAGCGGCACGCCUACCGCUGUCAGCUGGUUGACGUCGAGCGAAUGUGGACGCUGGACGCUGUGGGAGUCGCCGCAGAGGAGACCGCCGAGAGAGACCCACCUGUACCGACUUGGAACGCCACCGAGAACAGGUAUGAGAUGGGGCUAGUAUGGAAGUCCGACCAGCGCCCAGUGUCUAACCUGAUGUUAUCGAAGACCCGGACUCACCGUAUGACAGAGAAGUUGAAUGUUGAACAGUUCCAGGAGUACGAUGACCACCUGCAUCAGCUGCUGGAAGACGCCGUCAUCGAGCCCGCGCUGCCGAGUCCACCAUCAGAGUUCAUCUUACCGCAUCGAGGACUGCACCGCAACGGCAAACUGCGAGUGGUGUUCGAUGGAUCAGCGCCAGACGGUGCAGGUAUGAGCCUGAACUCCUACCUUGAGCCGGGAGAGAACCUGCUGCAUCGUUUACCAGCUGUGCUACUUAACUUCCGUUCAGGAGCUGUGGGUUGUCAGACGGACAUUCGUGCAGCUUUCCAUCAGAUUGUACUCACUGAGGAGGACCGUCAGUUCGUGCAGCUACUGUGGGCGGGCCAGCGGCUGAGGUUUCGCAGGGUCCCGUUUGGACUCACCUGUUCGCCCUACAUGCUGCUGUGCACUAUCGCUGAGCACGUCCGCCGGUGUCUGCGCGAUGAACCUGUUCUGUUGCAGAAGGUUCAGGAUUCCGUCUACAUGGACGACAUGUGCCCGUCCUUCAGUACGAGGGCGGAGGCAGAGGCCGGACUGACGAAGAUGGGUGACGUCUUCAGCGAGGCCUCCAUGGAUCUUCACAAGACCAGGAUGUCUGGUGACGACACUGAGGACGAGAAGGUGCUCGGCCUACUGUGGAGCACAAGAUCGGAUCGUCUGGCCGUGACCGUGCCACAGGUGACCUGCCCUGGCACCCGGACUGAGCUGCUAUCUGCUGUGAGUAGACCGUUUGAUCCGCUCGGCGUGGUGACGCCGUGGCUGAUCUGGGGGAAGGCCCUGUUUCAGCGUACCUGGCUUGACGCUCAAUGCACAUGGGAUAGUCCCCUGAGUGGGGAGCUGCAGACCGAGGUCCGAGCCUGGUGGAGAGACUCGCCGGGGAGGGUGAUCUGGUUCCCUCGCCUAGCCGGAGCGCGUGACGAUCAGUCCGGAGCGACUUUUCACGUGUUUUGUGACGCGUCUCGGACCGCCUACUGCGCGGUGGUGUAUGUGGUCCAGGGUGGGGAGCCUGCCCUGGUGAUGUCGAAGAGUAGGCUGGCCCCCCUGUCUCCACAUCUAACGAUCCCCAGGCUGGAGCUGAUGGCCGCUGUUGUUGGAGCCAGGUUGAUGGACUUCAUCAAGAACGCGCUGCAUCUGGAGAGCGCAACAGUCACCUACUGGUCCGACUCGACCGACGUGCUUCACUGGCUCAACCGGAGGCGGCCUCUCAAGAUGUUCGUGGAGAACCGGGUGAAGACUGUGCUUCAGUUGACGACCGCCGACCAGUGGAGGCAGUGAACCGCACCGCGUGGAUUCUUCGUUUCGCGCACAACGCCAGGCACCAGCGCACGGAGAGGAGGAGUGGAGCGCUGUCACCCGAGGAGCGCCGGGAGGCGCUGCUGUUCUGGAUCCGGGUCUCGCAGAGUGCCGCCUACGCGCCGGAGCUGGAGGCGCUGACGGCAGGCGCACCGCUGCCACCCAACUCGCGACUCGAGAAGUACAUGCUUCAGGUGCCGGAGGUACCGGGGUGCGCCGUACCGGUCAGCUGAUGGCGCGCUGCCCCCGUUCAGGACGGAGCCCAGUCGUCCGUUCAGCCGGGUCGGUGUGGACUUUUUCGGUCCGAUGUACGUCAAGGGCGGCGACAAGGUGACGACGACGUGCUGACGCCCGCGCACCUGUUGUUCGGGGUCACGUCCAUCCGUGGCGUGCUCUCUCCGUCUGGCCACGAGCUGGACAGCCUGAGUCGGCGCUGGCGGCACCAGCGGCUGAUCAGCGAGCACCUGGUUCAGCGAUGGACCAAAGAGUACCUGCAGACUCUACGCACGUGGAGCUUCUCUCGGCGCGGCCGUCCGGUUCGGCUGCCCGAGGUCGGAGAGAUUGUGCUGGUGCACGCGGAAGGUCCGCGUGGUCGCUGGCCUCUGGCGCGCGUGGUGUCCCUCCUGUCUGGAGCGGACGGCCGCGCUCGCGCGGCGAGUAUCGUGCUAAGAGGGCGACUUACCCGCCGCCCGAUCAACAAACUGUUGAGACUAGAGGCGUCGGAGUGAAGUGAGCGUCGGCGAGGCGAGUGCCGAAAAAGUGACUGUGUGCCGAGUGAGGAGAGACUUUUCGAAGUGAUGGCUCACUUCGAAAGUGGGGAGUAUGUCGCUAUUCGUUACUGCCCUGUGACCUUUUUUCUCCUCAUGUUACCGUACCGUAUUUGUUUUCCAUCGUUACUGUGUUGUAUCCUACCUUUCCUUUACGCCUCGUCAUUUUAUUUUACCUAUGGCAGCCCAUUUGGUAACCCCUGCAUCCUUCACGAAUAUUUUUCCUAACCGCGCCGAUUUCGCUUUGUUGUCGUAUUUCGUUCUGAGUUCUGUCGCCACCGCCGCCGUGUGAGGUUGUGUACCGCCAGUGUGCUAUCUGCUGCCACCACCGCCACCAAUAUAAUUGAAGUGCUCAUAUAU
rnacentral:misc_RNA from 1 species